rnacentral:lncRNA from 1 species
CAGGGGGCGGCAGAGGCCGCGAAGAAGGGACUCCCGCCGGGGGAGGCGCAGACGCAGUCCUCUAGGAGUCACCUGUCCCGGGCUCCUCGGCGCGCGCGCCCCGUCGGCGGCGGGAGGUGGUGGGAAGGGNNNNNNNNNNNNNNNNNNNNNNNNNNNNNNNNNNNNNNNNNNNNNNNNUUCCUUGCAGGUCACUCAUAAGGCCAGUCCUCCUUCCCGGGCUUCUCAUGCUCUGGCAACAGCAGGCAGGUGACCAUGGGGUGGGAGCCGGCAAGGGCGACCACAGGCUGGGCGACAGAAGGAACACAGUCUGAAGACACCACUGAAGUGCAUCUUCAAACACUGCGGCUGCACUGUGGGCGCUGGGAAACCACAGCCGCCCACAUCUCAGCAGUCUGGGCCAGCCCAGGGCAGGAGGCCGAGCUGGCAGAGGCAGGGCUGCGGAGGGGCAUGCAGGCGGCAGGAAGUGGGGUGGGGGCAGGGCUGUGCCAAUCACCCACAGAAAGCCUCAGCCAGUGGCAGAACCAGCUACAUAAUUUGUGGGGCCCUUGUUCAAAAACUGUUAAGAAUUUCAAGACGGCAACAGCAGAGUGUUAAGCCAAGCACAGGGUCUUUCUAAGUGUGGGCCGUUCAGGUUUCAUGUCCAUGAAGCCAUUCUUGGCCAGGGUCAUUUGCCCAGCUCCCAGUUUAAGGUUUUGUGGCAUGGCAUUUGGGUAGUAGAAGGCGCCAUACAAAAGGUCUGGCCCUCUCCCUGCCUGGGCAAGGCCCAUGUAACCCAUUGUGUGGAGCAUGGCAGGGCUGGCAGAGGGGCUGUGCAGCAAGAAGGCUUGGGCUGUUCCCCUCUGUGUGGGAGUGUGGACAAGCCAGGCCUGGACACUGCUAUGUUGGCAGGUGCUGGGUAUACAGGGAGUGCUUAAUAAAUACACAAUGAUCCAAAGGGAUGGCAGGCAUUUGGGGUUUGGCCUGCCUGGUGACUCACACCCACCCG